UACGUAGGGUGCAAGCGUUAAUCGGAAUUACUGGGCGUAAAGCGUGCGCAGGCGGUUUGUCGCGUCUGCCGUGAAAGUCCGGGGCUCAACUCCGGAUCUGCGGUGGGUACGGGCAGACUAGAGUGAUGUAGGGGAGACUGGAAUUCCUGGUGUAGCGGUGAAAUGCGCAGAUAUCAGGAGGAACACCGAUGGCGAAGGCAGGUCUCUGGGCAUUAACUGACGCUGAGGAGCGAAAGCAUGGGGAGCGAACAGG
rnacentral:rRNA from 1 species